rnacentral:rRNA from 1 species
UACGUAGGGUGCAAGCGUUAAUCGGAAUUACUGGGCGUAAAGCGUGCGCAGGCGGUUGUGCAAGACAGAUGUGAAAUCCCGGCGUACUGGAUGCAUUGUGACUGCACGGCUAGAGUGUGUCAGAGGGGGUAGGAAUUCCACGUGUAGCAGUGAAAUGCGUAGAGAUGUGGAGGAAUACCGAUGGCGAAGGCAGCCCCCUCGGGAGUAACACUGACGCUCAUGCACGAAAGCGUGGGGAGCAAACAGGAUUAGAAACCC